UAAUCUCUACGUACAAAACCUGAAAUUUUUAUUUUUCCAAUCUCUCUCAUCUCCACCCACGAAUCCUGAAAAUUUUAUCUCCAAUCUCCCUCAUCUCCCUCAUCUCCAAGCCUAAAAAUUUUUUCUCCAAUCUCCCUCUUCUCCACCUACGAACCCUGAAAAUCGAAAAUCCCUAAUCUGCCUCAUAUACCUCAUCUCCACCUAAGAACUCAAGAAUCUCCCUCAUCUCCUUGAACCACACGAACACAUCUUCCUGAACCACGAACCCUCGCCUGAACAUAUCCCUGAGCCAUCUUGUCUCCCUCGAGGCAUCCUCUCAACAUCUGAUCUAAAUUUCUGCCUAUCAAACUUGGAUUGAGCGGAGAGAGAAGAGUGCAAAGUGUCUUCAGCAGCAAAUUUCUGCUGGCAGUGAAUUUCUGUGGCUUGGAAAAUGAGAGAUGAGGAGGGCUUUUACCAUCCCCACAAUGUGGAUUUCCGUGGCUAAGCAUACCCAAUGCAUACACAUUUGAAUCAUUUGAGUUUCGAUCUCCAUCAAGGAAUGCUUGAGUUUGCCCAAGGGCAACCUUUAGGGAAGUCUGGCUUACACUGACUGAAGAUACAUUUAGCAAACCUGUAUUCAGGUGGUGUUGAGAAGCUAUCACACGAUGGACGUCUAUGGGCACAUGGGUUGAAAGUAUUUUUAUGCUUUGGGUAGUUCUGAGAUGUACUUUAAUAUUGACAUGUAAUGGAUGGGCAGUUUUAUGGUUUGGGCAUUUCUUGUUGUAAAUUUGUAAAAAUUUUACUUUUGAGAAUGAAUGGACAGUUUCAGAUUUUUGUAUA